UUAAUGGAGAAUCAGCAAAUGGAAGAAAAAGAGAAGAGCCUGGAUUGAUCGAUGACGUGUUAGAUCAAGUGGGGGCAUCGCAGCCUCUCUCUCUUCCUCCAUAGCCCCCACCAAACUCUCCAUAGCCCCCACCAUCUCUCUCAGUCCUCCCCCACAUCAUUUCCCCUUUCUUUUUUUAUUCUUUUCCUUCUCAGAUAUUUUCUCUCUCUCUUCUUCUCUCUCUCUCUAAAUUCUCUCAUGAGCUUCUUCUUUCUUCUUCGUCAGGCAUACGCUCUCUACCUUGUCUCCUCCACCAUUGAAGCAGAUCUCCUCAUCUUCAUCUCUUCCCUCAGUUCGUCUCCGUUUCUUCCAUGGACGCCACCGACCUUGAAAUUUCCUCUCAUCCUUGCGUCUCUCAGGCUGCAUUCUCCUUCUUUUGCUCUAUUCUAUUGCCUCUACCGCUUCCGAGCUCCCAAUUUUGCUGCUUCAGGACGGAGUAUCCGUUUCGUCUUUGAGCUAAUGGUUUGUUUGGCUGCCGAGAAAAUUUUGAGAAAUUAUAAGCGUAAACGGAGAUGUAACUGAGAAUCGUGUAAUUAUGGACUUAUCGCAUGCCCUACGCGGCUAAAAGUCGAAAUAAUGAAGGACGGUGAUUUUGUUUUGGAGACGCGUACUUGUGCUCUCAAAUCAGGAAAUUAUAUUGCAAUAAGGACAUGAAAUUGCUCUUGAUGCUGUCUAUGUAAAUCAAAUUGCGUGAACAAGGAGAUUCUGUAAAUCUUUAACACUGAGGCCAGAAAGCUCUUCACCCAUCAUUUGCCUGUAAUCAAUGAGAGGUAAACAUUGUUUAGGCCCUAAACAUGGAUUUCGGACAUCUUAAAUCCAGUAGUGAGUUGGAUUUAUGAGAUGCAUAACAAUUCUCUUCUGAUGCUAAACAUCUUUAUUGGUUACACUGGUUGAUUGUUUGGCUAUACCUAAUCCCGCUUUUUUGAGCUCUGGAUUGUCCUCUUUAGGUAGGUUUAAAUUACAGUAUAGACUAUCUUGAGGAGCAUAAACAUUGUCAAUUACUUAGUGCAAAUUCUGAAGCAAGCAUGUGAAAAGUUGUCACUUCAUCAUGGUAAUGUGUAAAUCAAUGUUAAAAUUGUUUAUUCUACCAGCAUCAUACAACAAUUCUGUCAUAACCUUUGGACUCUUGAUAUCAUCUGGUUUGAAAUCAUGGAACAUUCCAUUUUGGCUCAAUGCAGUAUAUAUAUAUUUCUUUUGAAACAAAAAGAUGAAAUUUUAUUUCGUAAGAGAAACUUUAAAGUAAAGUGAUCAAGUAAUCCACCAAUAGCAGAAGAGAAAAGAACAAUAAUUCAACAAUGUCUAGCUUAAUAGUGAAUAUACUGCAUUGGCAACACUUUGGGCUCAGCGCAGUAUAUACACUAUUAAGAAAUGACUCCACCUGCUUUGUUUAUUAAUUUGGUAGUAUUUGAACCGUGAGCAGUUCUAGAAUCAUUUGAUACAUUUGUGAAGAUAGAUAUGAGCUAAAGCAUGUAUGAGGUUUCUCUUGAGUUUACCUCAAUACGACACCAAGUGAUAGUGCUUUCAACGUAACUUGUGGAUGUGAAGAUUUCUUUGAAAUAGAAAAUCAUUUCAUGCAUAAAGAUAGGUUGAUAUGAAAAUUUGAUUUGUUCUGAAAAUCUCAACUUUCGUUUUCUUUUUCUUUUUGGCAUAAGUUCCCAAAAUGUGAUAGUAAACAUAAAUUUAGUGACAGUUUUUGAUAAGUUGAUGAGAAUUUAAUUUAUUCUGAUAAUCUUAACUCUUUUCUUCUCUUUUAUUUCUGAUAGACUUUUGGUAAAAGUUCUCCAAAUGUGAUAGUGAAAGCAUAAUUAAUAUUGGUGUUUGAUUAACAUGGCUAGAGUUUUUUUUAAUGAACAUUUAAUCUGUUUGCUUUUGACAGCAGUAUGUGGAUUUCUUUGCUGGUUCAUUAAAAAAAUUUGGGUUAAACUGCGCUCAUUCGCUCUAAUACCACACUUAUUUGGCAGAUAAAACCAAUAUUUAUUAGAACUUACUCUCAGUAUGGCCUUACGUCUUUAUAUGCCAACAGUGUGCCUACCUUAAAAACACUUGGUUGUGAUAAAAUUGGAAUAGCACAAGUUUAUGUCAUAAAAGAAAUUUGGAAAAGCAGAAAACUUUUUGUUAUGAAUUUCCGACAGCUAAGGUCUUUCAUAAUCAAGUAUACAGCAUAAGAUGCCCUUCAAUAUCAUAAAGCUGAACAACAAUUGGCCCAAAAACAAAAAUACUCAAACAACAAAAAAGAAAAACAGAAAUUUAUGAUAACUUAUUCUUAUGUCUUUAUCAUUUUCAGAUUGCAUAAACUAUUAGACAAAAUUGUAAAUAGAUGUAGGAAGUUUAUCAAUAACAUAUGCAAAGUGCUGCAGACUUCAUUGUGUCCCUAUUCCUUAAUAAAACCUUUUGUCAUUUGGAAUAAACUAUUACUUCCUCUGCUAGUUUUGGCUUGUUAGUCCUCUACCUAGAACUGAUGUUUUGGAAUGAACUACCUUCUUUUGUAAACUCUAAUGUACUUCCUUCUUAGGAACUUAAUGUAGACUUGGUAUCUCGUUUCCUUUUCUCUUAGAUCUUACACAAAUUUCAUAAAUAAGAAAUUAACUUCCAUAGUUGUUUGUUUUGGCAAUCAAAUUGAUUCACUAAUAUGGCUAUUCAUGUUUUAAUUUAAUAGCAUGAUGUCAUUUGCAAAGUUUGUGUAAAUGUCUUUAUUGAUCACUGCUGGAAAGGGUGGGUUGGGACUUAAUUCCAAUUAUUGAUAAAGUCCUAUUAUUAUUUUAAAAAACUGACCUAGUUUUUCCUCCUUUACAAGUCUUGCUUUUUUAUCUAUAGCUCACUGCUUAGAAACUAUACUUCUGAAUCCAUGAAAACCAUAAAUGACCAUUCCUUUUCUCUCUAAGCUCUUCCACUAGUCCCUUCAGUAAGAAGAUAGCUUCUAUAGUUGUUUGUUGUAGAAUAAAAAUCACAUUUCUUCUCCCAUGUUUUUUUUCAUGCCUUUAGUUUAUUAUGUACAUGCAUACCAACACUGCCCCCACACUCCUUCCCUUUCCCCUCCAACCAAAGUGUUAGGUUAUGACUGAAGAUUUAACCCAAAAUAGAUAGUUUUACCCUAAGCUUCACCUUUGUUCUUUAAAAUUAGGUAAUUAGUCAAGUAAUUAUUAUUAUUGUAUUUAUAAGAAAUGAAGACUUUAUUAAAAGAAAGCCAAUAAGGUGCGAUUACAAAUAGGAUUGUAUUUAGAAAGUGAGGCCAUACCAUAUUGCUGAAGAAUUUGCAACCUUCAAUAGGGGUUCCAUUAAGUUCAAUUUGUUUCCCCUACAUUCAUCUUCUUCAUUACCUCUUUAACCCAACUACUGUAAGUGUCCAUUUGGUGCAGCUCUUGGCACAACUGAACAGCAGUUUCGCACCAUAUAAAGUGCUUUUUUGUCAAUCUGUUUUUCCUAUGAAUUGUAGUGGUGAAAACGGAGUUUCUGGAGAAUCUCAAAUUCAAAGCUUCUCCCAAAAGAUGGAAAAGAAAGAAAUCUAAUGUAGGAAACUAAAUCACACUCAGGUCUGUUGAAUGAUCCAAACAAUAAAUAACUUCUAGAUAUUAGCACCUUCUGAAGCUUCUAAGAACAAAAAUGUUGAAACAUCAGGUAUGCAAUUGGUGAUAGACUUAGAUAUCACACCUUUAUGAAUAGAGCAAUGCUUUAGGAAAUGAAGUUCCAGUGAAAAUGGUGUUAGAACGUGCAUGUUAUCUUCUCACAUGUAGACAUCCUUAUUGUAUUCUGACUUUCUAAUGUUUCAUUUCUAUUUGUGCUUCUAUAGUGCUAGUGUUUCAUGGUUAAUAUAUGAUACAAUAAAUUCGUGAUAAAAAGGAAAAUCAUAAUACCUAUGGUUUUCCUGCAAGUUUUGAAGUUGUUGCCUCAACAUUGCUGCCUCCCUUUGCCAUAACUAGGAAGUAAAAAAAGACCACCUUUAGUCAUAACUAUCACAAUGAACAUAUUUAACUGGAAAUUGGCCACUUCAACAUAAUGGCAGCAAUAUAUGUGAAAACAAGGUUCUUAUUUGUAUGAUACAUGGUCAGCAUAAAGGUUUUGUUCAUAUACCAAUGUAAACAUGCAAGGUAAAUCAUGAGCUUAUAAUAAAUGAUCAUAAACUACUUACUUGCAACAUCUUUUGUAUACAAGCAUUAGCUACUACUUGAAUUGUAACCUCUUUUAUACCUGCAUUAUGCAGUUACAUAAUGUAACUCACAUCGCGUGCUUGCAUUUUAGUUCUCUAAAGUGAUGGUACCAUAAAGGAGAAAUUGAGCUUAACAUGACACUAGUUAGGGGUCCAUUGCUAGUCUGUGAGCUAAAGGAUCAAAGUCAGGUACGCGGCUGGAACUGAAUUUUAAUAGCAUCCUGGUUACUUAUAAUUAGUAGAAAUAGAAAAUUGCAAUGCACGGAUGUUUCUAUUGACAAGAACAGAAAAUCUGUGGAUAUUGAAAUUGUUGCCACGAUUAGCAUUUUGGCAUAUGAUGCCUUUGUAUGGAUAUAGAACUUGAUUUAUAUGAUCAAGGAGCAAUGCGCUAUUGUUUUCUUGCCCUAAUUUCUUUUAUUGGUUCCAUUUACCCCCUAUAUGUACAGCUUUGUAGAGAGUUUUUUGGUCUAGAAAGGAAAAGUGGAACUGGAGAAAUUCUCAGAGUGAGAUUUUUAGUGCCUCUGGGAUGAGUCUUACCAGCAGUUGCGUUCUGACCCUUGUUCAGAGCUCCAUGCUUGAAUUGAAAUACCUCAAACUAAAAAGAGAUUCCCGUGGAAAUGGUGAACCGAUUUCUUAUUAUUGAAACAACUUCACGAAUGUGAGAGCAGACAUAUUUGACGCUUUGUCUUAGCAAUAACAUCUAUUCCCAUUGUUACUGAACUUGGGAGGUUAGCCAUUCAUCUUUGCUCCUCGAUUCCACAUCCUUUUUAGGAUUAAUGCCUGAACUUCCAGGAAAUUGCAACUUUGUUGCUAUGAUCUAUCAAGAAAAACGAGCUAUCUUUUAAUGGAAUUAUUUUGAAAGCUGUGCAGCUAUAGGGGCUUUGUCUUUAUGUCGCAUGUGUGGUCUCUGGACUGAUCUUUUCCUUCUGCAAUUGCAAAUGAAGGGCAUCAUGGAUUUGGCGGAUGAAACAGCAUUAAAUCUGAAUUGACUUUGCCAAUCUAGUCCGUCCAUAGUCUUCCUGUCAUCUUAGUCGUUUCUUUUAGGCGUAUCAUUGAUGUGACAAGACGGAAGGAAAAUAAUCCAAUUCUUGAUCGACACAGUCAUCAAGGUUGGAUUGGUUCAAAACUAUGAUUUUAACUUUUGCUCAUGAAGUAGACAAUACAAAUAGAUUGGCAACUAUUAUACAUGGAAGUCCUUUGCUAUCACAGUUUUCUUUCUGUGACAUGCAAAUCACUUUAUCAUUUAAGUGGUGAACUUUAAUCAACUAGUUGGAAGAAGGAAUAAGUGGUUUGAAAUUAUAUGCUCCUGUGUGUUAUUUCUGUGACAGUAGAGAAACAAAACUUGCUUGCGAGCAAUGACAUAAACAAUGGUGAAAUCUGGAUUUUUAAUUCAAAAAAUCUUUCUAAAUGCGUCCUAUUUUGGACAGUCGUUGUAGCCUGUACAAAAUGGAUUCUGAGAGGACUACUUUGACAGUUUAUGUUUCUACUUUUUAAUAGUAUCUUCUUAAAUGUGUACUAAGAUUUUUUUUCUUCUCAUAUUCUUUUACCUUGUUGCUAACUCAUUAUUCACUGCGAAGCAGCUGAUGAUUUUAUUGUGAACACCAUAUUUCAGCACUUCUGAUUGAAAAUGUACUUCUGCUAAAUACAACACUUUUGAUAGGCUAAUGUACUUGUGCAAUUGUAUGGCUUCAUUAUGGUUAUUAAUAAUAUUUUCUAUUUAUUUCUUAGGAUGGAUGAGGUUUCAAUUUCAUUCGAGUGUAUAGACAUAAUUUAUGAGCAAUGAAGUUUGUAUGUCUAGGUAGGAAGGUAAUAUGAAAAUUGCCACCGACAUAAUAUUGUGAGUGAAAGCCAUAAAACUGGUGCAUUCCAAUACCACCAAAGGAGACCACUUGGGCCAUUAUAUGGAGGCUGCUCAGAUGAUAUGUGUUCCAACUUCCAACUUCGAACAUACAACCAUGAUUUCAGCACAUUGAAGACUCAUAUUUUAAAUACGCCUUGAAGAUAAACUAUUAAAGAAAAAAAUGCAGGACUCGGAACUGAAGAAUACCUUAAUUUCAGAAGUCGGAUUCCCAAAUUGAUGGUGCUCCUCUUUCGCCUUGUUGUAUCGUUCAAUUACUGAUUUUAUGCUGAUGUUCAAGCAGACAUUGUUUGAAGUAGGGAACUAGAGAUAAGUAUCUGUUUCCCUUCCUAACUUGUUUUAGCCAAUCAACUUUCUAAACUCUAAAUUCAGUUUCUUCAAGAAUUGGGACCAUUAGACAUAACUGAAUAUGUGACAUAAGAACUACAAAUAUAAAAAAUUUAACAACUCUGUAUUUCCCUCCUUUUUUUCCCCUUGUAAGUUAGCUGCUAUAUGAUUUCAUACUAACUUGUUUCAGUCAUUUGCAUAUCAAGUAUUGCUGAUACAUAACAAGAAUAAAGCCUGUCUUUGGAACUGCAUAUUUAUCAAUGAUCAAGAGCUUUGCUUUCAUGUUUUCUGACCUAUGUUCUACAAGAGCUUGUCCAGUUACUAAUGUCAGUUCAAUCGAUACAGCUGCGUGGCACUUUAGAGUUGAAUGGGAACUUCUAGAGUAGGUAUUAUUGCAGUGGAUUGAAUCAGUACAGAGGUGGGAACUGAGUUUGGAAGUGUCUCUAUGACUGUCUGUUAGUAAAUUCUUAAAACUAGAUUCUAACAGCUGACUAAAAUUAUUCUGGACGAGGCUGAUAAUAGCAGGGUGAUGAUAUCGUAAAGGAUUUAUGGCUUGGAUUGUGAUUCUGAAAAUGAUGAUGAGGAGGAAGAGAACGAGGCUGUAGGCAAAUGUUGUUGGAGAGGAAUAUUCUGCCCAUAUUUUUGUUUGCACCUGUGUCUGCAGUUUCUAUAUUGAUUCCGAACGGGCUCAUCAGUUUUCAACUAUAUUGCUUUUCUACAUGCUGCAGUUUCAACAAAAAUAGCAGUGGAAGUUUAUCAGGUUAAAGUGUUUGCUUCUUAAGUCAACGACAUGAUUUUUUAUUCAUAUCAGCAUACAUAUCUAGCAACAUAAAUAUUUAUUUGUUAGACCCGCAUUCGAGGGGGCUAAUGAUUGAACCCUUUCUCUUUUUAUGUUUU